AUUUUAGUUGCUGUGUCGUUAUCGUCAAAACUGGAACAUAAAGAUCGAAUUUCAACCAAUAGUUCUUUCUGAUAUUCUUAAGGAAACUGGUAAUCACUUGUAGAAACUUGUUUUGAUAUUAAUUAAUUUGGAGCAAAGUUCACCAAGUUUUUAUUAAACGUCUUUCUAAAUACAGUAUGGGGAUUUCUCAUUUCAAGGUAAUUCAUCGCCUGGAGCUAACCCAGCUAAGUUCGUUCACUUAUUGAAAGAUAUGAGACGUCUGGUGGAUUAUUUGAACUGGGUGAAGUAAACUUUCCGGAUCGAGUAGGUUUUUUCGACUGCGAUUAUGUGAAGUCUGUAUCUCAAAUUAAUCAAGAGAUUCUUAAGUCGCGGUACCUUUACGCUUUUGAGUUAUGUUCCUGCUGGUUUUAAGAUAUAUUUAUGAAAAUAUAAUUUUUAUACAGUAAAAUAGUUGUUCUAAAAAAUAGUGUUCGGAAAGUUUUGUUUAUUUCGUCAUUCCGCUGAUAUGGCGAUUUCUUUGACGACUGCAAUAUAUUUCUGAAUCGUUUGUGUGAAUUGCUCCUUAUUAUUAAAAUAUCCAAAAUUAGAACAAAGCCGAACACAAUUUUGAAACUGACAUCUUUAGCUAUGCCUAUGUCCUGUGAAAAUUUGAGAAAAAUUCGUUAAAACCCGCAGGAGCACAACUCGUUUAAAAACUAGUAAUUGCCGUAAAAUUUCUUCGGGAGAAAAUUGAAUUUGAAUAUUACAUUUUCAAUGUUUUUCUUAUUGCAGCGAAAUGUAUUUUAUUAAAUAACUCUGCGAGUUUUCAACAUUUUUCGUCCAGACUUGGUCAGAUAGUAGAACUAGUCUAAUGCUUUCAUGAAAACCAAUAAAAAAAAUUAGGCAAAAUGAACACUCAAAGGUGUUCUGUAACCUUAAGGUGAUUCAUCAGUAAUUGUUCUGGAAAUGAGAAUUUGCUGAGACUUCCCAUGCAGGGGCGAAGUUUAUCUGUUUAUGAUAUGCUCAUAGUGAAAACAGAAAAGAAGUUGGGGUCACCGAACUCGUUUCGAAGAUAUCAGUGACAAGUGCAAUAUGGCGCCACCUUGAGUCCUUUACCGUUUUACGAGUUACAGGUACAAUCGCAAUUGCUCAACCGUUAUUGAAUUUUUUAAACAAGUAUACUACUAAAAAUGUCUAUCUAGUGAUUAUAUACAAGAAAACAUGGUAUUUUAGCGAAUCAACGUGCAUUGUCGUGGUGCAAAGAUAUUUUUUCCCAUCUUCUCAGACAUGUUAUUUCGGGAAGCAUGCACGAAAAAUGUAAAAUGUUAUAAGUUAUAAAUGGUUUUUCUCUUAUUUUCUGAUAUGACAUGUAAAACAUGUAGAAGAACAAAAAUAUAAAAUAAAAAAGUAGGGUCAUGGACCUUCUUAAAGAGAUACAAGCCUAUAGGGUUAAACAUGCAACAUGAUGUGGUUUAAUGUUAGUUGCACAGUAGCCCUAGCCAGAGGUUUGUCAUUUUUGAAGGUGUAUUACCUGAAGCGCGCCUAUAUAGUCAAUGCAGAGUGUUUUUCUCUUUGCCCUUACUCUUUCUUUAUCACUUUACAUUGCAGUUCGACUACAUAGAUUUGAGCUAGAAUUUGCUAUUAGGUAUGCGCAGUAAAAGUGCGCAAUGCAAAACUGAUGAAUCACCUUAACCUUACGUUAUUGGGCGCAGUAUACCUGCUUGCAUACAUGUUUUGAAAAACUUCGUCGACUGUUGUUAUGUGAAACUAUUUAAUCAAUUGCGUGCACACGCGCAACAGACGGUUAAUGAUGACUAAUUUGACUUAAAUUACUUAAAUUCGGCACAACGCUCAAGCGUGGUGCAUUUACCACUCAAUACAUUUCUGUAAAACUAUAUUGAUUUGUAAAAGAGCAUUGCUCGCAACUUACCACUAGUUUACAUCUAUUGCUUUUCUCUUAUAUUAAGGAAAAAAUUGAUGUCAUGAAGAUGCUGGCUGGUUUGUAUAUUUCUUAUUACUAAUUGUUUUCAUUAAUCAUUAUUGUAAUAAUGGUACAAAUGGUAUUUUUGAAUAUUGACCAUUGCAGAAUGAAGAAUUCUUAUCUUUUGAAUGCUCAGCUCUUUCCAAG
rnacentral:lncRNA from 1 species